rnacentral:lncRNA from 1 species
GAAAGAAGAAGAAGCUGUAUGUAUUACAUACCCAUAAACAUGGUGCCAAGGUAUGGUGAAGUUCCUGAACUCCAUCCAGGAAACAACCACUAGCAGUUGCAGAUUUGCUGGCACUUAAUCUCCAAAGGCAGUGUUUAAUCCGGGGCUUUGAAGAAGGGAGGGCAAUCAAAGUUGUCUGAAGAAAUGCACUCUGAAUCCUGGGCCGUGCAUGCUGACCUCCUACUGAAAUUUUACACUCUGCAUUUCAAAGGCAUUCUCUUGACAUGUAGGCUGUAUGUGAUUGAAAGAUGAGUUCUCUAACCACUAAGCUAUGGGACAUUGAUUUUUCCUGUUGAAACUGUUCCACUUUUUAUAAAAUACUCAGAUACUAAUUAGUGCAGAAGCUAGUACCUAACCACCAGGUCAUACUUUACUUCAGAACUGCGCGAGGAUCCACAUUAGUGAAUGAAGAAGAUAUCAAGCUAGCUAAUGAGUCRGCUCCAGGACCGGUAUGGUUGGGUCCGUGCAGGACUGUGCUCAGGCUCAUUAGCUCAUCUGAAGAGAAGAG